rnacentral:ncRNA from 2 species
CAAUUCUUGUCGGAGUGCUCAGAAAUCUGGGCUGAGAUCGCAACAGCGGGAUCCGUGGAACCUGAUCAGGCUAAUACCUGCGAAGGGAGCAAGACUUCUCCAUAG